GACCACUCAAGCCUAGCUUGGUAUUGGGGCACGCGGUUCCGCGGCCCUCAAAAUUAGUGGCGGCGCCGGUGGGCUCUAAGCGUAGUACAUACUCCCGCUAUAGAGUUCCCCCGGUGGCUCGCCAGAACCCCCAAUCUUUACA
rnacentral:misc_RNA from 1 species